rnacentral:rRNA from 1 species
UACGUAGGUGGCAAGCGUUGUCCGGAUUUACUGGGCGUAAAGAGCGCGCAGGCGGUUGGAUAAGUCGAAUGUGAAAGCCCCCGGCUCAACUGGGGAGGGUCAUUCGAUACUGUCCAACUUGAAGGCAGGAGAGGGCAGCAGAAUUCCCGGUGUAGUGGUGAAAUGCGUAGAUAUAGGGGAGAACACUCGUGGCGAAGGCGGCCAGCUGGACCAGCCCUGACGCUGAGGCGCGACAGCGUGGGGAGCAAACAGG